rnacentral:rRNA from 2 species
UACGUAGGGGGCGAGCGUUGUCCGGAAUUACUGGGCGUAAAGGGCGUGUAGGCGGCCGACCAAGUCCGGUGUGAAAUUUCAGGGCUCAACCCUGGACGUGCACUGGAAACUGGUUGGCUUGAGUGCAGGAGAGGAAAGUGGAAUUCCCAGUGUAGCGGUGAAAUGCGUAGAUAUUGGGAGGAACACCAGUGGCGAAGGCGACUUUCUGGCCUGUAACUGACGCUGAGGCACGAAAGCGUGGGGAGCAAAC